rnacentral:rRNA from 1 species
UGCAGCGACGCCGCGUGAGGGACGACGGCCUUUCGGGUUGUAAACCUCUUUCAGCACAGACGAAGCGCAAGUGACGGUAUGUGCAGAAGAAGGACCGGCCAACUACGUGCCAGCAGCCGCGGUAAUACGUAGGGUCCGAGCGUUGUCCGGAAUUACUGGGCGUAAAGAGCUCGUAGGUGGUUUGUCGCGUUGUUCGUGAAAACUCACAGCUCAACUGUGGGCGUGCGGGCGAUACGGGCAGACUAGAGUACUGCAGGGGAGACUGGAAUUCCUGGUGUAGCGGUGGAAUGCGCAGAUAUCAGGAGGAACACCGGUGGCGAAGGCGGGUCUCUGGGCAGUAACUGACGCUGAGGAGCGAAAGCGUGGGGAGCGAACAGGAUUAGAUACCCUGGUAGUCCACGCCGUAAACGGUGGGUACUAGGUGUGGGUUUCCUUCCUUGGGAUCCGUGCCGUAGCUAACGCAUUAAGUACCCCGCCUGGGGAGUACGGCCGCAAGGCUAAAACUCAAAGAAAUUGACGGGGGCCCGCACAAGCGGCGGAGCAUGUGGAUUAAUUCGAUGCAACGCGAAGAACCUUACCUGGGUUUGACAUGCACAGGACGUGCCUAGAGAUGGGUAUUCCCUUGUG